UACAGGGGGGGCAAGCGUUGUUCGGAAUUACUGGGCGUAAAGGGUCUGUAGGUGGCCAACUAAGUCAGACGUGAAAUCCCUCAGCUUAACUGGGGAACUGCCUUUGAUACUGAGAAGCUUGAGUCCGGGAGAGGUGAGUGGAACUGCGAGUGUAGAGGUGAAAUUCGUAGAUAUUCGCAAGAACACCAGUGGCGAAGGCGGCUCACUGGCCCGAUACUGACGCUGAGGCACGAAAGCGUGGGGAGCAAACAGG
rnacentral:rRNA from 1 species